GCUUGGGUCUCACAGGGUUAACACAGUAAACAUGUUGUAUCUUACUGUACUUAGCUCCUAAGUUAAUAAUUAGCAAAAAAAACAACAUCAAAAUCUGUCUGAUUAAGCUAGAGUUAUGUUUUUUUUGCAUGGGCUGUGUCUUCCGCAUCUGCGGUGGCAGAGCUACAGUGGUGUUUGUUAGACCAUGAGACAUCCCGAAAAUCGGUCUUCUCACGAAAACGUCUGCAGAGUUUGAAUGGAUCGGGCUAGAACAAGCUUCAUGGUACUCGUCUGAAGUCGGGACCUGCUGAUGUGCCAACUUCUGUCUGUAGCGUCCGAACGGUUUGGGCUACAAACUCAUAUGACCCCACCAUAUAAAGCUGAGCUCUUCUGCAUGGCACAGCUCCUGAAGUGCUCAUUUCAGCUAUGUUAAUGAAAGAUGUGUGCAAAUACAGCUAAACACUAUACUGUGUGGCAUUGGAUCAGUCAACUAAGCAAAUAGGAAGUAGUUAUUCUGUUUUUAACACACAAAGCCAGUCUCCAAUGUGGUGAUAAUUGCCACUGCAACACAUUUUAUGGAGUUUAACAGUACAUUUAUUCCGUGCUGCCCUCAAACCAAAGCACUCAGACUGUUUUUAUUUAUAGUCUGUUUUCAACUUGUCAAUUUUAAAUACUUUUUAAAGUUUUUAAUUUUCUAAUAACAGUUUGAAUUGAGGUGUGUUCCGCCUCAUUCAUUCACAUAGAAGUAGUCAUUUUUACUUUUGCGGACCAAUACAUUUUUUUGACGUUUCUGACCCGGACAAAAUUCCCCAAAACACUUCUCAAAUGUUUGUGCAGUUCAAGUCUGCAGACAUUUGCUCAUCUGCCGUCCUACAUGUCCAUAUUUUACAUCUGUUGCCUGCAUCGCAAUCAAAGUUGAUUUCGUUACCAAUAAUAACUUUGGAAAUGUGUGCGUUUCUAUCAAACUACCCUGGCCUUAUGACUCCCAAGUGGCACUACGUCUCAGUGCUAGAGGCGUCACUACAGGCACCCAUCUUCAAAUCCAGACUGUGUUUCUAUCAAAGUGGUCCACCUUCCCUGUGGCCGACAUGGUUGCUGUAUGGACAGUGGAGAGGACAUGGACGUCUCGUUUGUCAUGGCACUUUACUGCCAGCUGUUAACAUUUCUUAUUUUGUAUAACGGGUCAUUUAGGAUGGCAGUACCGUUGUUGAUGAAAUGCAGUCAUAGCAGCAGAACUAGAAAGCAGUCUUGGGAAAAGAGGGUGGCAAAGAAGUGAGUUGCAGACAUAGGAUCUCUGCUCCAGUAUUCUCUUAGGGAGUUCUUCUUUAUUAUCCCCAUGAGAAGGACUGUCACCAGGAAUGCAUACAUUUCACUAAUUGUGGUUCUCUCCCCCCCACUCCUGGCUCUCUCUUCUC